rnacentral:rRNA from 1 species
GAUGAACGCUGGCGGCGUGCCUAAUACAUGCAAGUCGAGCGAACGGACGAGAAGCUUGCUUCUCUGAUGUUAGCGGCGGACGGGUGAGUAACACGUGGAUAACCUACCUAUAAGACUGGGAUAACUUCGGGAAACCGGAGCUAAUACCGGAUAAUAUUUUGAACGGCAUGGUUCAAAAGUGAAAGACGGUCUUGCUGUCACUUUUAGAUGGAUCCGCGCUGCAUUAGCUAGUUGGUAAGGUAACGGCUUACCAAGGCAACGAUGCAUAGCCGACCUGAGAGGGUGAUCGGCCACACUGGAACUGAGACACGGUCCAGACUCCUACGGGAGGCAGCAGUAGGGAAUCUUCCGCAAUGGGCGAAAGCCUGACGGAGCAACGCCGCGUGAGUGAUGAAGGUCUUCGGAUCGUAAAACUCUGUUAUUAGGGAAGAACAUAUGUGUAAGUAACUGUGCACAUCUUGACGGUACCUAAUCAGAAAGCCACGGCUAACUACGUG